rnacentral:lncRNA from 1 species
AUGUGGCGUACAAACAAACGUAAACGUGGGCUAGAUCAUAGUCAUAGUAAUAGCAUUACCAUGAGUGAAGAUGUCAGGCAAUUGAAUGCCCUGCUUAAUACACACUGGCCAGAUAAUAACACAGCACACAUAGCUGCACAUGGUGUAGAGCCAACGGGUGAUGAAGCAACACGGAUUCCUGGCAUUGUACAGGGAUGUAUCAAUGACCAGGGUUCAUUUGGUAAUAGUGUAUGCUCUGACGCUGGUAAUAGCCUAGUUAUGAAUAUAGCUAUCAGACAGAUGAAUGCAAUGCUUAAUACACAUUGGCCAAAUAACAAUGCUACCAACAUAGACACACAUAAUACAUAUGCAAGUGGUGAUGAAAGUGCUCUGAACAUUAAUGUUGCACACAGGGUUAUCAAUGAACAGGGUUCAGUUGCUAAUAAUCCAAACUCUGGCGUUGCCGCGAUGAUAAUCAGUAGUGAUGGUAUAACAUAUGGCCAGCCUGUAUUACAUGAUACGGACACCAGCGGGGGUGUUGGUAUUGAUGUGUUAGGUGUGGGUACGACAGCAUCGACUAGUAAUGAUCGUUGUGAUGGUGUGUUGGGUGUUAGUAGUGUUUCACAGAGGGGUCAUGGCAUCCCAAGGCCUGUUAGCCCUCUGGUGUUUAGCAGGCAUAGUCUGGAUAGUGAAGCCAUAGAGUCGCUGGUACGACAGGGUGGUUAUGUGGAGGACUAUCGGAUUGAGGGCAGACCGCGCUUUAACAGUCUAGUAGCCCACAGACUUUUAAACUUCAGGGAUGUUGUGGCCACAGAUAUGGCAGCAUAUGUGAGUCAUAUACAUGAUACAUUGGCGGGGAUUGUGGAUGUGUCAAGAAUUCUGGGUGGUGAAAAUGGGGUGCUCAACAUAACACUACGGGGUUAUAGUCUCACGAGUGACGUGAAUGUGUUGCUAACCCCUGCAAAUGGCUAUGGUUUAGAACAUCUUAUCAAUGCCAUUGAGAAGGUUUUACAGAGUAAUACGGCCAUCUUGAGUGAUAAUUCUUUAGAGUUAACAGUGGCUAUAGCCCGCUGUAGAAAUGGGGGUGGGAGACCCAGUCGAAAAUUGCGUGAUCUAGCACAUGAUGAAGUCAUUAAACAGAAAAGAAUGCACUUAUUCAACCCUGUUAACAGGUCAAAUAAUUUGUGUUUUGCCAUGUGUUUAGCAAAUUAUCUAAACCCCCAUAGUACGUCAAACAGAUUAGAGGCUAUUGCAACAGACAUGCAGAUGCGUGCAGGCUUCACCCCACAGCAGAAGAUUGGUUUUAGUGAUAUUGCCAAAUUCGAGGCCCUGUACAGUGUUAAAGUGGUGGUCUUCUACCGCGGAGCUGAUGCCAAAUUACUACAUUAUCAGACAGACGAGAAACCCAAUGAUAUCAUAGCUCAUUUAUACCUACACAACGAGCAUUAUCAUGGCAUUCUGAAUCUGCAGGGUUUCAUGGGUGUAUCGCAGGUCUGUAAGUUUUGCUACAUUGGUUACAGAGACAGCAUGUACCACCGGUGUAAAUACAUAUGUGAUGUGUGUCACGAUGUUGAUUGUCAUAGGAUGGGUGGGGGGUUCAGACAUUGUGGGUGA